AUUCUGAGUCAUCUGCUUGGGUUAUAAAGUCAACAGUCACAGACUGGCCUUGCAUCACUGGACCCAAACCUUUGACCUAACUUUCCCGUCUAAGGUGAAGAGAAAAUGACAAAGCAGUUAGCUUUAACCCAGCUUAUCUGUUUGGCAUUGCUGCAAGAGAGCACUUGAGACUUGGUUACUUAACAUAAAGAGAACAGCACUUGGCUCAGAGCUCCAGGAGUCCGAGACAUACACGACUGAAGUGUCCCUUCAAGCUAGGUCCUUCUGCUUUUUAAAACAUUGCAGGAUACAAUACAUCAUGAGAGGACACACCUAAGAGAGGAGGAGAACUAAGCCUGGUUCGUAACAAACCCACUGUCAUGCUAACGAAUCCACUCCCAGGAUGGCGAGUCUACUUGUGAGCAAAGAAUCCUUAUGACCUGGCUAUCGGUUAGCCACUUGGUGAAGAUCCUGCCAACUAAAAUCUAACAGGGAAGCUUAAGAUUCCAGUAAAGAGCAGGGAGUAGAGUGUUUCUGAACAGCACAGAGCUAUGAGGCAGAGGUACCUAUCAACAGAAUUAGAGAGCGAUCCAGGCAGACACUAGAAGAUAAACUCGUUUAUCUUCUCACAUCUGCCAAGUCAUGAAGGGCAGCUGUGUGGCAUAUCUUCUGUCCAACUUGCUUCCCAAUGGCUCGUUCUGCCUUGAGUAUAGCAGCUAUAAGAGAUGGGGGCAAUGGUGGAACUAGAGGAAACUCCAAGUGCGAGUGGUUCUAUUGGCAUUAAGAAAGUGACACCAGAUUUUUCUUCAUACAGAGGACAGUGGGUCACCAAGUGCUGUAGACCCAGUGAGAAGAUCACUGUUGACUCCAUAGGAAUUCUCGACAUGGCUUCUACCUUUUGAGUGUGCAAUGCUUUUUGUGUUAAAUCAUCUUUUUUUCCUACUUUAGGAAAUAGAACCAGAUUAUAACUC
rnacentral:lncRNA from 1 species